UAGCAUUUAUGAUUUAAUUGGUUUAGAUGUUUCUAUAGUGUAGCUUCACAAAGAAUUGUUAAGAAAUAAAUGUAUCUAAAAACUUUCUCUUUAAAAAUUACACCAGCAUUAAUUCCUAAAUAUCAAAUAAGCUGCAAUGUUAUUACACCUAGAACCUAAGUAGAAUUCAUGUAAAAACAAUAAUAAAAAUAAUUAUAAUAUGAAACUAAUAAGUUUCAAUAACACUUCUUUAUUUUUAUUCUAAAAAAUUUUUUUGACUCCAAGAACAAAAAAAAAAUUCAUUCCAUAAAUCAGUAAUGUGGUUUAUACAUUUUAUUAUUUAAUUUAGGUCAAAACAAACGCUAAAUAGUUGAUACAAAUCUUAUUGUCAAAAUGUUUUCAAGGCAUUGGACUAAUGAAAUGGAUGAUCUUUUUAACUCUCAGAAAUUUAGAAAACUUUUAAGUGCCAGUCAAAUAUUAAAGAGACCCUCUGAAUCAAUUUAUUUACACUAGAAUCUUAUUGACUGAUAAAUGCCCUCUGUUACUCACAUAUUAUACAGGCAAAUAUUCAACAUUAUUAUUUCAAACUUCACACAGCUUAACAUCAAAGUUGACAAUGAAAGACCAGGAAACAAAUAAACUAAUGUAUUAAGUAAGGGCAUAAAAAAAAAAAAAAAAAAAG